rnacentral:tRNA from 1 species
GGUCGGGUGGUGAAAUUGGUAGACACGAGGGACUUAAAAUCCCUUUCUCCGAACGGAGAGUGCGGGUUCGAUUCCCGCCCCGACUA